UCGAGCGAGCAUCCGCCGGGUUAGGAAGUCGCGGACUGAGCAGCUUGCAUUUGCCACGACCGUCCUCAACUGUUUUGAAGAUUGUUCCAUCUUAUAACUACCAGUGUGCACAGACUCCUACUCAAGUAACGUCGUGGUCCAGCGAUGCAAAGAACUGAAAUCUCAAGCUGGAAAAGCCUGUAUUGUCUUCAUAAUAGCACAGAAGAAUUGUAGAUAGGAAGGACAGACGGAAACGAAUGAGGACUAUAAAAGAAAAAAAGGAACAUCCAAGAUUGAGAAAAACUGCCAGGACUAAGAAGGUAACCCACAGGAAGCUGUCUUCAGGUCCUGUUUGCCUGCUGUGCUUUCAAGAACCUGGCGAUCCUGAAAAACUAGGAGAAUUUCUUCAGAAAGACAAUCUUUGUGUCCAUUAUUUCUGUCUUAUCCUAUCUAGCAAACUGCCUCAGAAGGGCCAACCCAACAGAGGUCUCCAUGGAUUUAUGCCUGAAGACAUCAAAAAGGAGGCAGCCCGGGCUUCUAGGAAGAUCCUAUUGUGGAAAACAUCGCCCAACACAGAACAUCCACCAGAGGAGUUUUGGGGAAAGCUGCGUCUUGUGUUGUGAAGACUUAUCCCGAGCAAGUGUCGAGAACAUCAGGAGCCCAUGUUGUAGUCAAGCUAUCUACCACCGAAAGUGUAUCCAGAAAUAUGCCCACACGUCAGCAAAGCACUUCUUCAAGUGCCCCCAGUGCAACAACCGAGAAGAGUUUCCACAGGAGAUGCUGAGGAUGGGAAUCCACAUUCCAGACAGGCGGUGGCGCCUCAUUUUGUGUGCGACAUGUGGAUCCCACGGAACCCACCGGGACUGCUCCUCUCUUAGACCCAACAGCAAGAAAUGGGAGUGUAAUGAGUGUCUGCCUGCUUCAACCGAGGAUUCUGUAUCUGAAAACUUGGGUGACACCCCCUGUUGCAGCAGCACCUUCUGCCCCCACGAGCCUUUCCUAAGGGCCACCAGCCUGGAAGAGAAUCCAGGCUCUUCCUGGACCAACUGGCUACAACCUUCCCUGUUAGAAAAGCCUGAGUCCUCUAGUGGAAGCAGCUGCCAGUCCUGGCGAUCCAAAGGAAUCAAAGUCACUAAGGAUUGCAAAAAGUCCAAGUAAUAGCCUCAGAGUGGUUCCUGCCCAGGACAGUGAGGUACGAGAGACCCUUGCCGCAUCAGUUUGGAGAGGUAGCACUUUGAAACCAUGAGACAGAAGGGGCCAGGUGAAGAGGUCUCAGGGGUCACUGUGUGCGCCAGCAGGGGAGUGUAAGGGCCUGUCCACCAGAAUGUGAUUCUCCUGUGCUUUCUCAAGCCUUCACUUGCUUGUUAUUGACGAAUAAAGGUCACCUCUCCGCUCGGGUCUCCUUGUG
rnacentral:lncRNA from 1 species